rnacentral:rRNA from 1 species
CGAGGGAUCUUGGGCAAUGGGCGAAAGCCUGACCCAGCGACGCCGCGUGGGGGAAGAAGGCCCUCGGGUCGUAAACCCCUUUUCCGGGGGAAGAGUAAGGACGGUACCCCGGGAAUAAGCCCCGGCCAACUACGUGCCAGCAGCCGCGGUAAGACGUAGGGGGCAAGCGUUACCCGGAAUCACUGGGCGUAAAGGGGAGGCAGGCGGCAGGGUUAGUCGUCCGAGAAAGGUCUCGGCUCAACUGAGAUAGCACGGGCGAUACGGCCCCGCUUGAGACCAGCAGAGGCGGGUGGAAUUCCCGGUGGAGCGGUGACAUGCGUAGAGAUCGGGAGGAACACCAGUGGCGAAGGCGGCCCGCUGGGCUGGUUCUGACGCUGAGCUCCGAAAGCGUGGGGAGCGAACAGG